CUUCUACAGAAAAAUCUACGGUCAAACGGAUUUUUUGGUACACCAUCUCGCCGCUCUGCUGGAGGGCUAGGUGGGAAGUUAGCCCAACUUGCAGGGCGUGGUGAUACUGCACAAGUGGAUGCUAGGUAUCCAGCCAUACUAUUCAAACAACAGCUAACAACAUGUGUCGAAAAGAUCUUUGGGCAGCUAAGGGAUAAUCUAAAAAAGG